rnacentral:rRNA from 1 species
UAGGUCAGCGGCGGACGGGUGAGUAACACGUGGGUAACCUGCCUGUAAGACUGGGAUAACUCCGGGAAACCGGGGCUAAUACCGGAUGCUUGAUUGAACCGCAUGGUUCAAUUAUAAAAGGUGGCUUUUAGCUACCACUUACAGAUGGACCCGCGGCGCAUUAGCUAGUUGGUGAGGUAACGGCUCACCAAGGCAACAAUGCGUAGCCAACCUGAGAGGGUGAUCGGCCACACUGGGACUGAGACACGGCCCAAACUCCUACGGGAGGCAGCAGUAGGGAAUCUUCCGCAAUGGACAAAAGUCUGACGGAGCAACGCCGCGUGAGUGAUGAAGGUUUUCGGAUCGUAAAACUCUGUUGUUAGGGAAGAACAAGUACCGUUCGAAUAGGGCGGUACCUUGACGGUACCUAACCAGAAAGCCACGGCUAACUACGUGCCAGCAGCCGCGGUAAUACGUAGGUGGCAAGCGUUGUCCGGAAUUAUUGGGCGUAAAGCGCGCGCAGGCGGUUUCUUAAGUCUGAUGUGAAAGCCCCCGGCUCAACCGGGGAGGGUCAUUGGAAACUGGGGAACUUGAGUGCAGAAGAGGAGAGUGGAAUUCCACGUGUAGCGGUGAAAUGCGUAGAGAUGUGGAGGAACACCAGUGGCGAAGGCGACUCUCUGGUCUGUAACUGACGCUAAGGCGCGAAAGCGUGGGGAGCGAACAGGAUUAGAUACCCUGGUAGUCCACGCCGUAAACAAUGAGUGCUAAGUGUUAGAAGGGUUUCCGCCCUUUAGUGCUGCAGCAAACGCAUUAAGCACUCCGCCCGGGGAGUACCGGUCGCAAACCUGAAACUCCAAGGAAUUGACGGGGGCCCGCCAAAACCGUGGAACCAGGUGGUUUAAUUCGAAGCAACCCGAAAAACCUUAACAGGUCUUGACAUCCUCGAGAAACCCAAAAAAAGGGCUUCCCCUUCGGGG